rnacentral:lncRNA from 1 species
AGAAAAGGAACCAAACCCUAGCUGGUAAGAGGUAACUCUAGGGUAACGAAUUUCAAAGUGUAGACUAAACAUGUUCCGCACAUUGUAGGUGCCAAAUUAGGCCCUCAAUCGGCCAGUCCCAUCCAGUUUCCAGUCCCCGUGAAAUAGCCAACGGCUGCGGGACAUGCACGGCCGUCCCCCCGGCUGCACGUUCCUCCCCGCACUGUCGCCACCUGCCAUCUGCAUAGGUACCCUUGACCAGGCAGUCCAGUAUUUAUUGUGCAGGUUCAGCAGGGUGUUGUUAAUUUGUACUCGCGUACUCAUGUUCAAUUCGUCACUUGCUUCAUCUCUGUCGGCAGCAUGAGUAUAAUAAGCAGAUGAAUCUCCUAGUCCCCUAAUGUACGCUCGGCUGAAUCGAGCAAAGUUAAAGUGUGUGCUGUGGCCCAGAGAGGAAGGGAGAGCGAGGGAGAUCCAAGGGAGACCAAGGGUGAACCGAAAGGAUGUACGCCGAGAGGGGGAAUAGGCAGCACUAGCAGCAGCGGUCCGUGCAUGGUGCAACACUGGUCCGAACAGUAGCUGUUGAACAGUAGCUAGCACCGUUUUAUCACCCCGCCACCACCAACCGUCCAUCACCAUGUCGUGAAGCCCUCACACACAUCCUGCAGCAAGAAAACGUGAAUCCACCAAAUGCAGGCCUACAGGUCUACAGGUCUCGGUCCAAAGCACACUUCUCCCACACACCACAACCCCACCACCAGCACAAUCAUAAGUGGCGGUUCCCUGCUGCACGCCCUCGCUGCUUUGGGUCAUGGCGCACAGGCAGCCUACACUAGCCAGCAAGACUUCGACGUGUGGACGGAACUGGUGCAGGCGGGUGUGGAGCUGUACCUCCGUAAAGCGCCACGNNNNNNNNNNNNNNNNNNNNNNNNNNNNNNNNNNNNNNNNNNNNNNNNNNACCAUUUUCGCACUUUGGAAACGCCCUAGCAAAUUCUGGACCGAUCGUACAGUUCAGUACCAGUGGCAACGACCUAAUAACCAACCGGCCGGGCCAAUACAGUGUUUGGGUGGUCGCUACUGAAACGUGUCUUCAUGUGGCUGAAACUAUAUUUUAUGUAUUUAAGAGCUGAUUUCCGCCUUGAAAUCCUAGUUUUUGCGAAGUUUGAUCGACCGGCUUCGGAGGGUACGAUAUUUCGGGGCUGCAGUCCCUUGGGAUACCUUAGAAUUUGUACGUGCUACAUAUUCGUGGUGCCUCCCGAUUUAUUGUAGCACGAACUAUAAGUAGCACUACGGUACUGUAGAUUUGCAGCCCCGGAAGCACAACGGAAAGCAUGAAUAUAACUGGUGAAUGCAUCAUAAGUGAAGUUUAGGUUAGUUUAAGUGUUUGCUACCUGUCUUAGUGCUCCAAUGUAUGACUUUGGCUAUUAUGGCUGCAAUGCAAAGGUUGGCAAACCCUGAAUAACUGUCACGGGUACUGGUGCCAGGGUCUAAUAACUGUAUGGAAAUUUAUUUGAUAAAAGCUGAGGAAAGAGUGUCUGGUAACCUAAUGAUGAAGUUUAUAGCUUCAAAACUGUGCAAACCUGCCUUUUGGGGGAAAUUUCUGCACCCUGCCGUAUGGCUGCCAUAUCCAUGAUGAAGAAUAGAGUUGAACUUCUGCAACGGGUACAACGGAAGGACCCGUGGUACCCGUGGCGUUUGCCGACCUCUGGACAUGGGAGCAAGUGCGUGUUAUAAAUACAUUUUUUAGGUAGUCCGCCAUAUGUGUCUGCCAAUUGGAGGUAAUAACUCUGCCACCCUGCAAUCCUUACCACAAGGCCGAAAGCCCCGCAAGCUGUGGUCACGCUACUCGAAAGUCAACCCAAACUCACAACGGAAGAUGACGACCAGCAGCUUCUUACAAGGUGCCGAACUGCACUAGUUAUCUUUUCUUAAGAGGAGUAGGAUAUAGUGAGCGUGACCAAAGAGAAAAGGAACCAAACCCUAGCUGGUAAGAGGUAACUCUAGGGUAACGAAUUUCAAAGUGUAGACUAAACAUGUUCCGCACAUUGUAGGUGCCAAAUUAGGCCCUCAAUCGGCCAGUCCCAUCCAGUUUCCAGUCCCCCUGAAAUAGCCAACGGCUGCGGGACAUGCACGGCCGUCCCCCCGGCUGCACGUUCCUCCCCGCACUGUCGCCACCUGCCAUCUGCAUAGGUACCCUUGACCAGGCAGUCCAGUAUUUAUUGUGCAGGUUCAGCAGGGUGUUGUUAAUUUGUACUCGCGUACUCAUGUUCAAUUCGUCACUUGCUUCAUCUCUGUCGGCAGCAUGAGUAUAAUAAGCAGAUGAAUCUCCUAGUCCCCUAAUGUACGCUCGGCUGAAUCGAGCAAAGUUAAAGUGUGUGCUGUGGCCCAGAGAGGAAGGGAGAGCGAGGGAGAUCCAAGGGAGACCAAGGGUGAACCGAAAGGAUGUACGCCGAGAGGGGGAAUAGGCAGCACUAGCAGCAGCGGUCCGUGCAUGGUGCAACACUGAUCCGAACAGUAGCUGUCGAACAGUAGCUAGCACCGUCUUAUCACCCCACCACCACCAACCGUCCAUCACCAUGUCGUGAAGCCCUCACACACAUCCUGCAGCAAGAAAACGUGAAUCCACCAAAUGCAGGCCUACAGGUCUACAGGUCUCGGUCCAAAGCACACUUCUCGUGCCAUGGUUUGGGGGUGCCACGCGUUUGUGCCCCUGCACAACUACGGCACAUGCGCCCAAGGUGGAGCCUCAGAUGGAACAUGAGGUCGCCACCCUCUGUCCUGGCAACGGCACAAGUGUACGCACAACUCAUCACUAUGCGU